CCUACGGGAGGCAGCAGUGAGGAAUAUUGGUCAAUGGGCGGAAGCCUGAACCAGCCAAGUAGCGUGCGGGAUGACGGCCCUACGGGUCGUAAACCGCUUUUGCACGGGGACAACACCCUCCACUUGUGGCGGUCUGCAGGUACCGUGCGAAUAAGGGCCGGCUAAUUCCGUGCCAGCAGCCGCGGUAAUACGGAAGGCGCGAGCGUUAUCCGGAUUUAUUGGGGUUAAAGGGAGCGUAGGCGGGCGUUCAAGUCAGCUGUAAAAUUGCGCGGCUCAACCGCGCCCCGCAGUUGAAACUGGGCGCCUUGAGUGCACAACAGGCAGGCGGAAUUCGUGGUGUAGCGGUGAAAUGCAUAGAUAUCACGAGGAACCCCGAUUGCGAAGGCAGCCUGCCGGGGUGCGACUGACGCUGAGGCUCGAAGGUGCGGGUAUCAAACAGGAUUAGAUACCCGAGUAGUC
rnacentral:rRNA from 1 species